rnacentral:rRNA from 1 species
GGGAAUAUUGCACAAUGGGCGCAAGCCUGAUGCAGCCAUGCCGCGUGUGUGAAGAAGGCCUUCGGGUUGUAAAGCACUUUCAGUAAGGAGGAACGGUUAGUAGUUAAUAGCUGCUAGCUGUGACGUUCCUUACCGAAGAAGCACCGGCUAACUCCGUGCCAGCAGCCGCGGUAAUACGGAGGGUGCGAGAGUUAAUCGGAAUUACUGGGCGUAAAGCGUACGCAGGCGGUUUGUUAAGCGAGAUGUGAAAGCCCCGGGCUCAACCUGGGAACUGCAUUUCGAACUGGCAAACUAGAGUGUGAUAGAGGGUGGUAGAAUUUCAGGUGUAGCGGUGAAAUGCGUAGAGAUCUGAAGGAAUACCGAUGGCGAAGGCAGCCACCUGGGUCAACACUGACGCUCAUGUACGAAAGCGUGGGGAGC